rnacentral:rRNA from 1 species
AUACGAAAGGUGCAAGCGUUGUUCGGAUUUACUGGGCGUAAAGAGAGUGUAGGUCGUUUAUUAAGUCGGAUGUGAAAUCCCGGGGCUCAACCUCGGAACUGCAUUCGAUACUGGUAGACUAGAGUUCGGGAGGGGUAAGCGGAAUUCCGUGUGUAGCAGUGAAAUGCGUAGAUAUACGGAGGAACACCUGAGGCGAAGGCGGCUUACUGGACCGAUACUGACACUGAGACUCGAAAGCGUGGGUAGCAAACAGGAUUAGAAACCCUAGUAGUCC